AGCCUUUGAAGGACGUUGAAAGAGUCUGCUCCCAGAGGUUAGAGCUCUGGGAACCGUGCCCUGGGGGAGCAGGGUGCAGAGAUGAGGGCCAGGAGCCCCAGGAAAGGGGGGAUCUAGAUCCACUCAGAUGGCAGCUUGGCCAGGAGGUGAGAAAACCCCCAAAGGCGGCUCCUUCUUCCCCGACCCCCGAUCCUGAAGGCACCCCGGGCCUGGAGCUGGAAGCUCUUUGACUGAGCACCCCCCUGCACACUGCUGGGAUCCCACAGACAAAGACCGAAAAAUACAAAUUCCAAACUGUCCCAGGAAGCAGCUGGAAAGACAGGAAAGACCGGAGCCAAGAUCUCGUCCCCCCUGAGCACGGGGGCCCGCCCUCCGGGGCCCCGGUUCAUCCUCACUGCUGCCCGAGAGCCGGGCGGUCAUGCCAGGCUCCCCAUUUGCCAGGAGAGAAAACCGAGGCCCUGCAAGCAGAAGCCCGUGGCCCCCAGUGCGGCGCUCCGGACCCAGACUUGCCCCUGGAGUGUGACACAGGUCGCUGGGGAGUGGGGGGGGGGGGGGAGCCCAAGGGGAGGGGAGAAACUCAAAAAUGCUUAGGUCUUUCUGCAGGAUCGGAAAGUCCUGGGCAGGAAAGCAGGUGCUACAGAGCGGGCUGGGGGCCACGCACAGGCCACGAGACAAAAGCCGCUGAACGCCAGGGUGACACAAGUCGUCCUGGUUGCCUUCCAGCGCCCCUGAUCCGGCAAGGAGGGGGCGUCUCCUGGGUGCUGCUGCAUCUCCCCCUCCAGCAGAGAGGGAGCCACUGUCCUGAGCCUCGGAGCCUCGGGGCGAGCCUGCGGCCAGCUGGACCAGAAAGACACUUGCAUUUCUUUUUUUCUUUUUUUAAAGAUUUUAUUUAUUUAUUCAUGAGAGACACAGAGAGAAGCAGAGGGAGAAGCAGGCUCCUCGCAGGGAGCCGGAUGCCGGACUCGAUCCCAGGACCCCGGGAUCACGACCUGGGCUGAAGGCAGAUGCUUGACAGCUGAGGCACCCGGGCACCUGACGCUUGCGUUUCUAAUUCAGCAGUUACUUCUCCUUUGUGGUAAGUUUUCAAUUCAAAGCAAUGAAAGAAGGCUUCCCGAUGAAAUGAGAGGUGAAUGUCUUUAAGCACAGGGCAAGUGCGAAACGGGGCAGCGGGGUGUGGCCCACAUCCGGAAGGAGGGAUGGCCGCUGGGGAAGCUGUGUUUUUCCCAGCUUGGUGCGUCGGGAGCUUUCAGACCUCGCCGUCCCCAGGAGGACGCUCCACACGUGCUCGUCCGCAGCCACUGGCUGCUAUUUAGGGGCCAGCCACCACGCGCCCGGGGGUGGUGGGGGACUUGCAAGGCUCUGCGUGAUCAAGCAGACGUGGCCCUGCCUGCCCUCCAGAACUUUCUGGAGUCUGUUGGGGAAACUGAUACAUGAGAUCCUCAUGGAGGGUGAGAAAUGUCCUGAGGACCCAAAGUUGUGCUAGAGAAAAACUGAGGGAUGGAGGUGGGGGGGAACGGAGAUCAGGGUGGGCCAAGGAGGCCCCUGGGGAGAGGCACCGUAUUAAGCAGGCGAUGCUGAGAACAGAGGGGACGGCAGAUGCAAAGGCCCUGAGGCAGGAAAAGACCACCCCCUCCCCCAUGGAAGAAUUAAAGAACCACAUUAAAGGAUCUUUUAUGUCCUGGGGAGGAUUUAGGGGUUUGUUCUGGGUGCGGUGGGGAGCCACUGGGUUGUUUUUGCUUUUUUAAUCAGGAGACUGGCCUGGUCCAAUUUGAAUUUUAAGAAGACCCCCCCACCCCCAUGGCUGUAGCUCAGACCAUGCACUGUAAGGGUCACAACAGUGGGUCUGACCCAGGUCCAGAAAAGCAGUCAGAUCUGAAGGUUUUAUUGGAGGAAGAACCAAGGGGCUUGGUGAUUUGUUUACACAUUUAGCAGACAUUAUGAAGCACCUGUGUGUGCCGGGCACCAGUCCGGGCAGCAGGGAAACCUCGUCAUGGGUGA
rnacentral:lncRNA from 12 species